ACACAACAACAUUAACAAAAACACAACAACAUUAAGGAAAACACAACGGAAGAGGUAGGUCCCAGUGGGAGACCUAAGAAGUCGCUGAUUGGACGACAGGUCGUUUUACUUUUGAACCGGAAGUUAUGCUGGAGUGCUUCGUUUGAUUGAAAACCUAAGGAAGCGGGAAUACAGUCACUUCGCCAUGUAUUGCCCGAACUGUGGAAAGGAGGUGGUUGAGCCGUCACCAAAUUUUUGCAGUAAUUGUGGCAAGAGGCUUCAAGAAACUUGUAUGGAGGAUACUCCACAAUGUUCAACACAACAGACUGUCCCAUCCUGCCGUACACCAGCCCUCAGCACCUUCCUUGAAUAGAAAAAUGAGGAGCGACCAAAGUAUUCUCUUGGGAGAAAGGGGUUAAAACAAAAGGUAGAAAUGAAAGUUCGGGUAGGUGCUAAAUUGGGUUCCCCUGUGUCGGGAGCGAUCAUUACAGCCAGAGAGACGAAUGAGGCGGAUCUGACCAUUUUCACGUCGCUUCUGAUCGAUUUCUCGGUAAAACAACUCAUAUAAUCAUGUGAAGGUUGUAACAUUGAGUUUAAUUGGCAGCUGUUGUUUAAAAAAUUGUAUAAUAAAUAAAUAAACAAGA